rnacentral:misc_RNA from 1 species
GUUCAGACAUUUUAAGUAAGAAAUAUAUAUAUAUAUAUAUCCCUUAAGUUUUUAUGGUAUUUGUUUUUACGAAUUCUGAUACUCAAGAACUCGUAUCAAAAGGGCAUUCAGUGGACGUUAUCAUAGUCAUGUCAAGUUCUAAAUAGGAGAUUACAAAAUCUCUAUAGAUGACACAUGCAAAAUUACUUGGAAGAUAUUAUAAUUCCAUAUAUUAAUUGAAAAUCAUGAAAAUAUCUUUCAUUUUAACGAAUAAGUCAAUUAUCAUUUUAGGAAAACUCGUAAAUAAAGACUGGUAUCUUGUAUAGAACAAAAAAAUUAUUUUCGAUUAAUUAUAUAUUUGAACAUGUGCAAUUGUGUAAAUUUAGUAAGACUAGCAGAAUUCUGAACUAAACACUGGAGGGCGCGCCAGGCCUUUGCUGUAGUGCAACGCAAAGGCGACGCUCAAGAGCCCCAGCAGCGAGCUACUGUAACGGACCCUCCCCUUAAAAAAAUUAAUUUAAU